rnacentral:rRNA from 1 species
UACGGGGGGAGCAAGCGUUGUUCGGAUUUACUGGGCGUAAAGGGCGCGUAGGCGGCGCAACAAGUCACUUGCGAAAUCUUCAGGCUUAACCUGAAGCGGCCAAGUGAUACUGUCGUGCUAGAGUGCGGAAGGGGCAACUGGAAUUCUUGGUGUAGCGGUGAAAUGCGUAGAUAUCAAGAGGAACACCUGCGGCGAAGGCGGGUUGCUGGGCCGACACUGACGCUGAGGCGCGAAAGCUAGGGGAGCGAACGGG